rnacentral:rRNA from 1 species
ACAAUGGGGGCAACCCUGAUCCAGCAAUGCCGCGUGCAGGAAGAAGGCCUUCGGGUUGUAAACUGCUUUUGUACGGAACGAAACAGUCUGGGUUAAUACCCUGGGCUAAUGACGGUACCGUAAGAAUAAGCACCGGCUAACUACGUGCCAGCAGCCGCGGUAAUACGUAGGGUGCGAGCGUUAAUCGGAAUUACUGGGCGUAAAGCGUGCGCAGGCGGUUUUGUAAGACAGAGGUGAAAUCCCCGGGCUCAACCUGGGAACUGCCUUUGUGACUGCAAGGCUAGAGUACGGCAGAGGGGGAUGGAAUUCCGCGUGUAGCAGUGAAAUGCGUAGAUAUGCGGAGGAACACCGAUGGCGAAGGCAAUCCCCUGGGCCUGUACUGACGCUCAUGCACGAAAGCGUGGGGAGCAAACAGGAUUAGAUACCCUGGUAGUCCACGCCCUAAACGAUGUCAACUGGUUGUUGGGUCUUAACUGACUCAGUAACGAAGCUAACGCGUGAAGUUGACCGCCUGGGGAGUAC